UACGUAGGGCGCAAGCGUUGUCCGGAAUUAUUGGGCGUAAAGAGCUCGUAGGCGGCUUGUCACGCCGGGUGUGAAAGCCCGGGGCUUAACCCCGGGUCUGCAUUCGAUACGGGCUAGCUAGAGUGUGGUAGGGGAGAUCGGAAUUCCUGGUGUAGCGGUGAAAUGCGCAGAUAUCAGGAGGAACACCGGUGGCGAAGACGGAUCUCUGGGCCAUUACUGACGCUGAGGAGCGAAAGCGUGGGGAGCGAACAGG
rnacentral:rRNA from 1 species